rnacentral:rRNA from 1 species
UUAGAGAUAGAGGCGUGCUCGAAAGAGAGCCGUAACACAGGUGCUGCAUGGCUGUCGUCAGCUCGUGUCGUGAGAUGUUGGGUUAAGUCCCGCAACGAGCGCAACCCUUGUCAUUAGUUGCUACAUUCAGUUGGGCACUCUAAUGAGACUGCCGGUGACAAGCCGGAGGAAGGUGGGGAUGACGUCAAGUCCUCAUGGCCCUUAUAGGUGGGGCUACACACGUCAUACAAUGGCUGGUACAAAGGGUUGCCAACCCGCGAGGGGGAGCUAAUCCCAUAAAGCCAGUCGUAGUCCGGAUCGUAGUCUGCAACUCGACUACGUGAAGUCGGAAUCGCUAGUAAUCGUGGAUCAGAAUGUCACGGUGAAUACGUUCCCGGGUCUU